GACGAACGCUGGCGGCGUGCUUAACACAUGCAAGUCGAACGAAGAGCGAUGGAAGCUUGCUUCUAUCAAUCUUAGUGGCGAACGGGUGAGUAACGCGUAAUCAACCUGCCCUUCAGAGGGGGACAACAGUUGGAAACGACUGCUAAUACCGCAUACGAUCUAAUCUCGGCAUCGAGGAAAGAUGAAAGGUGGCCUCUAUGUAUAAGCUAUCACUGAAGGAGGGGAUUGCGUCUGAUUAGCUAGUUGGAGGGGUAACGGCCCACCAAGGCGAUGAUCAGUAGCCGGUCUGAGAGGAUGAACGGCCACAUUGGGACUGAGACACGGCCCAGACUCCUACGGGAGGCAGCAGUGGGGAAUCUUCCGCAAUGGACGAAAGUCUGACGGAGCAACGCCGCGUGAGUGAUGACGGCCUUCGGGUUGUAAAGCUCUGUUAAUCGGGACGAAAGGCCUUCUUGCGAACAGUUAGAAGGAU
rnacentral:rRNA from 1 species